UACGGAGGGUGCAAGCGUUAUCCGGAUUUACGUGGGUUUAAAGGGUGCGUAGGUGGGUCUGUAAGUCAGUGGUGAAAUCUCCGGGCUUAACUCGGAAACUGCCCAUUGAUACUAUAGGUCUUGAAUUAUCUGGAGGUGAGCGGAAUAUGUCAUGUAGCGGUGAAAUGCUUAGAUAUGACAUAGAACACCAAUUGCGAAGGCAGCUCACUACGGAUAUUAUUGACACUGAGGCACGAAAGCGUGGGGAUCAAACAGG
rnacentral:rRNA from 1 species